GGCGGCGUGCCUAAUACAUGCAAGUCGAACGCUUCUUUUUCCACCGGAGCUUGCUCCACCGGAAAAAGAAGAGUGGCGAACGGGUGAGUAACACGUGGGUAACCUGCCCAUCAGAAGGGGAUAACACUUGGAAACAGGUGCUAAUACCGUAUAACAAUCAAAACCGCAUGGUUUUGAUUUGAAAGGCGCUUUCGGGUGUCGCUGAUGGAUGGACCCGCGGUGCAUUAGCUAGUUGGUGAGGUAACGGCUCACCAAGGCCACGAUGCAUAGCCGACCUGAGAGGGUGAUCGGCCACAUUGGGACUGAGACACGGCCCAAACUCCUACGGGAGGCAGCAGUAGGGAAUCUUCGGCAAUGGACGAAAGUCUGACCGAGCAACGCCGCGUGAGUGAAGAAGGUUUUCGGAUCGUAAAACUCUGUUGUUAGAGAAGAACAAGGAUGAGAGUAACUGUUCAUCCCUUGACGGUAUCUAACCAGAAAGCCACGGCUAACUACGUGCCAGCAGCCGCGGUAAUACGUAGGUGGCAAGSGUUGUCCGGAUUUAUUGGGCGUAAAGCGAGCGCAGSCGGUUUCUUAAGUCUGAUGUGAAAGCCCCCGGCUCAACCGGGGAGGGUCAUUGGAAACUGGGAGACUUGAGUGCAGARGAGGAGAGUGGAACU
rnacentral:rRNA from 1 species